GUGCACUUGUUUUGGCUCAAAGUUAUAGUCUUUGGGAGUUUGGUUGCUUGUCAGGUUUCUAAUUGGAAGAAUUUUAUUAUUAUUAUUUUUUUGGACUGAGUUAGUUCAAAAAAAUAUUUUGAACACGAACCAUGAGGGAUGUUAGUUUUUCCAUAAUUAAACUCAUGGAAAGAGUCAUAUUUUAGAGAUGAAGAGAAUACCGACCGAGUAACAUGGAAUGCAUUAUGAAACCCAAUUUCAUACUUGGUGAUGCUUGGUAUACUUAAAAGCCCACCGCGGGACACCAGAAACAGGCCCCACUGCCUAUAAAUUGGAUCAAGAGCCCUCCGACAAACCGAGUCCCAGCGCCAACGCUUGUUAGGGUUUUCUCGGUCUCCGCGGCUCCUCGCCCUUCAGCUUCUUUGUGCGAGAAGCCCUUUUUACAAUUCUUCCAUGUUCCCUGAUUUUUUUGAUUUGAUCUCUAUUCUCUCCUUUCCUCCUGUUGGAAGAUCUUAUGCUAAUUUCUUAGAUUACAGGCAAGGAAUCUAUCGUUAGGCCAAAUGUUUCUCCUUCCUUUAGCUCCGAAUCAUCCUUUCUAGGGUUUUUCGGUGACAAGGUAGGUAAAUUGCUUCAAAUUUUUUUUCCAGUUUUAUCGAUAUAUUUCAACAAUUUCUUCGAUUACUUUUGCGUUCUUUUUUUCUUUUCUUUUCUGUUUGUUGUGAUUUGGUUUAUGUAUUCUAUAGGCGUGAUGUUGGAUGAUGAAGAAAAUCAUUCGGAUUCCCAUUGAUUUCCGUAAGAUGAUAUUAUUAACCAGCUACUUCUGAAACAUUAUGCCACCUCACUUCCAUUACGAAGAUAACGCUUCGUCAAAGUAAAGUUUGGUUUUUGAUUUUCUUUGGUUAUUCCUCUCAUGCUCGUUAUCGACUUCGUUUUAAAUUUCUACAUGCUUGUCUUUCUUUUCUAUUUUGGUAGCAUAUGGUUCGAAUUCCACUCUAUUGAAAAUUUUAAUGAGCCUGUGAUGUGAGAAAAAUAUAUUUGCUACUCUUGAUGGGAAACCCAUCUGAUGACAAUCUACCACCAAGAUCUCUGAGGCUCUGGUUUCCACUACCCUAUUCAAGUCUUCUUUUUUCUGUUAAAAAUCUCCUUUUUUUAUUUAAUUUAUGUAUGUUUAAGAUUUAAACUAUGGUCGCAUGGUAUAAAUGUCAUCAGGUCUCAAAAAACACUCGCAUAGUUUAGAUACUUUCAUGAGCCUGUGAUGAUAGAAAAAUAUUUGUUGCUCUUGAUGGGUGACCCAUCUGAUGAUCAUCAACUACCAAGAUCUCUGAGGAUCAGCCUGCAGCAAGAAUUUUGGAGCUCUGCAUUCUUCACCUUGCAAUGGCAGAAGUAACAGUGAUAGGAACAAGGCACCAGAUUGUCAUAAAUGAGGCGGUUGAUCUUGCAAAACGAUUCUAUGAUGGCUGUGCUUCCUAGGAUUAUCAAUGGAUGCCCUCCGGACUUUUUCAAAGAUUUCAGUGCAAUGGAUGCUGUUCAGUCUUUGGAAUCAUCAAAGCUUGAAAUUUAAGGACAUCUUUAUAGCAGAUCGGAGUGGAAGCAGCGGCAAAAGUUAAAGAAAUCCUCAUUCUGUUUGUCAAAGGCUAACGGUCAUGUAAAGUGGGAGUAGGGAAACUGCAGGUUAAUUGUGGUGAUCAAAAGGACUUGAUAAAUUUCCAUUGGUUACUGGAGAACCAAGGGUGGGGAGAAAACGAAAUGUACUUAGCCUUAGAAAUGAAUCACGAGAUCCAUAUUUUUUACGCA